GGAAGGAUCAUUAUUGAAUUAGCGAGGGCUGUCUGCUGGCCCCUUCGGGGGCAUGUGCACGUCCGAGCCGUUUAAAUCAACACCUGUGAACUCACCGUAGGCCUUCGGGCUUAUGUAUCAUAUAUAUAUAUACUCAGAUCAUAGAAUGUACAUUUUGCCUUUAAAAAAGCAAUCAAAUACAACUUUCAACAACGGAUCUCUUGGCUCUCGCAUCGAUGAAGAACGCAGCGAAAUGCGAUAAGUAAUGUGAAUUGCAGAUUUUCAGUGAAUCAUCGAAUCUUUGAACGCACCUUGCGCUCCUUGGUAUUCCGAGGAGCAUGCCUGUUUGAGUGUCAUUAAAUCCUCAACCCCGUCCGUCGGUCGGGGCUUGGACUUUGGAGCGUGCUGGCGAAGGUCGGCUCCUCUUUAAAUGCAUCAGCGGAGAAAAACAAACCUUUUUUCCCCCUUCAGCGUGAUAACUGUGUUGCGCUGUGGUCGCGAAAGGGUCCGCUCAUAAUCGUCCUCGGACAAACACCGAAUCUGUUUUGACCUCAGAUCAGGUAGGACUACCCGCUGAACUUAAGCAUAUCAAUAAGCGGAGGAAAAGAAACUAACAAGGAUUCCCCUAGUAACUGCGAGUGAAGCGGGAAAAGCUCAAAUUUAAAAUCUGGCGGUCCUCUGGCCGUCCGAGUUGUAAUCUGGAGAAGCGUUUUCCGCGUCGGACCGUGUACAAGUCUUCUGGAACGGAGCGUCAUAGAGGGUGAGAAUCCCGUCUCUGACACGGACCGCCGACGCUUUAUGUGAUACGCUCUCGAAGAGUCGAGUUGUUUGGGAAUGCAGCUCAAAAUGGGUGGUAAAUUCCAUCUAAAGCUAAAUACUGGCGAGAGACC
rnacentral:rRNA from 1 species